GGGUUACAUGCCAGGUGCGAGCAGGUAGUGGCUUUUGCCUGAGGUCCUUAGACCGACACGGCGGUUUAGAUUGGGUACUUUUGGACUACUUGUCCGGUUGACGCAUAUAACUAUAGUAGCAGUGGUCACUUGUAUAUCUUCAGUUCUUUCGUUACAUUGUCUUGCUACUAUAGUCUUAUUACAUGUAUACAUUCAGUUAUUCAUUACAGUAGCGGUAGUUGUACUUUCUUUCAUAUAUAUGUCUCUUUCAUUCAUUAUUAUUGCUACUGUAUUUUCUACUGACCCGUACUGUUGUUUAGCUCUUCCUGAUCCGGUGAGUACUCCUCGCCUUCAUCGGCUUGCGAUACCCACUGGGAGGGGAGACAUGUUUACAUGUUCUCACCUCCCCCACCAUUUUUCAGGUAUUGCAGGCGAUAAGUUUUGGGACGAGACGUGAGGUACGUUCGUAGCGGUCGAUAGAGCUUCUGACCGAGGUUAUCGAUUUAGUUUUUAUCCUUACUAUUCUGUUGUUAUAGCUUAGUUAGCUUAUAUGGUUCAGUUAGAUGAUCAUACUUGAUGUUUGAAUGUUGUGAGCUGGUUGAAUUUGUGGAAUUGUGGAUUUGGUUUAUGGAUCUUCAGUUUUGGGAUGUUUGUAUACUUUGUGGUUCUCGGAUUUGUAUUUAUGGAUUUACGCAUCGUGGUUUUCUACCCCUCGAGGUAGUCGGUUUUCAAAAUAGAGUUUCCGUGUGGGAAACAAUUUUCAAAAGGUUUUCAAAUGGUUUUUCAUGAUGAAUGAAUUAGAGUUCAAAAAUAAAAGCUUCUGUGUGGGGAGCACUUUUAAAUAGGAUGGUUGUUGUAUUGUGCAUUGCAUCAUCCAGCGCCUAAGGAGUGCUUAGAGGCAUGCAUCAUUCUAAGGAUUGUUAGCUGUAUGGAAAUGCAUAUCAUGCUUUGGUUGUUGAUUGGUAAAUGUAGGUUGUGGUUGUGAUCCUGUUGUAUCCGUUGGUACGCCGUGCAGAUAUAAAGGAGACUCUGCCCGAAUGGACAGAGGAACUUUAUAUUUGUGGCGGGUCUGUACGUCACGUGGGCCA
rnacentral:lncRNA from 1 species